CUUCAUCAGAUAUUGCCUUUGAUGCCCGGUGGGACAGCAGAAGUUUUUUAAUCUUCCUCUGAUGAUUGAUUUGAUCUUUUUUUUUCCCAUCAAAAAUGAGGAGAUUCAGAGGACCUGAGGGACAACAGAGGCCAGAGCUCCCAUCUUAUCAGUCAAGAAACAAAACAACUUGCAAUUUAUGGGUACUGGUCCUAGGACUGAUCAUUGUCUUCAUUCUAG